rnacentral:misc_RNA from 1 species
GUAGAGUUUUAACCAACUGUUCUAAUAAUUUCCACUGGAAAUUCGAACAGUAAUUUAUUGAUUUUUAUUUAUCAGAAAUAAAAAGUACCUAAAACACAUCUUUGCAGCACAACUUGUUCAAAGAACACGUCUUGCACAAAAUCUGUGUUUUCUGCACUCGCAAAUGGGAAAAACAUUUAAUGAUCCUUCCGCAGGUUCACCUACGGAAA